UACGAAGGGGGCUAGCGUUGUUCGGAAUUACUGGGCGUAAAGGGCGCGUAGGCGGCACAACAAGUCGGGAGUGAAAGCCCGGGGCUCAACCCCGGAAUGUCUCUCGAAACUGUUGAGCUAGAGUGCAGAAGAGGCAACUGGAAUUCCCAGUGUAGCGGUGAAAUGCGUAGAUAUUGGGAAGAACACCUGAGGCGAAGGCGGGUUGCUGGCUGACACUGACGCUGAGGCGCGAAAGCCAGGGGAGCGAACGGG
rnacentral:rRNA from 1 species